rnacentral:lncRNA from 1 species
UUCAUACAUCAAUUCCUUAAUUGACAGAUUUGUACUCUUCCAGUCUUCCAGGAUGGCUGGAUUUCCUACCUUUGCUUCUACCUGCGAAUUUGUGAUCAGGAUGACUUGCGCUAAUGAGCUGGAACGAGAUCUUUUGGCCAAACAACUCAUACACUCCAUCAAGAACUGACGCACCAACGUCGUUCACAUCCAUCACAUUCUUCUUCUUUAACACCACUUUUCCUUUCACCAUAUUGUUUCCGUCCAUUGUCUUACCAAACAUGUUACCGAUCAUUGAUGACCUUGUAUCGAUUUCUCUAUUAAAAUCAAAAAGAUUCUCAAUUAGUUACG